UCACAGGCAGGUCCUGCUGUCAUUGUGCUGUCGGUGUCUGGACGUGCAGCAUCCUGAUAACCGUGCUCUGCUCUCUGGUGGGCCAUCCUGGAGACCCUGCUUUCACUGGACAGCUGCCAAGUGUUGCCUGCUUCAUCAUUUGUGGCAUUUACCUGCCAUGUGCUAUCAUGUGAACCCACGGUGGCGAUGGGAAGGGAUCCAUGGGAGGAGAGACUGCAUGGCUGUCAACAACCUCUUGGCAGGAAUCCUGCCUUACCCUGGAGAAAGGAGAUGCUGAGUCCUUGGCACAGACAGUCCUGUGAGCUGUGCAGGAAUCAAAGCAACUCUGCCAGAGAAAAAGAACACCAGUAAAUCUCCGGAUGUGUUGAGUGAGACAGCGAAAAGUGGCAUAAAAUGUAACAAGAAAAAUGUCGUGGCAGCUGAGGAUGUGUCAGUCAGCCUGCCGAGCACCUCUGUCCUUUGCAAAUUCUCAGCAAGAAUGCCUUCUAAGAGCUUUGAAUUCAGAAAAUGCAAUGAGCUAGGAUUUCAAACACCUCGAGUCUUUCAAGGAUGAAGUCAUUUCCACUCCCCAAAUGCACAUAUUCCUCAUCAGAGUCAUUUCUCUGGAAGAUUUUUUCCUUUGGA